AACUAACUGAAAGGAGAAUUUGAGGAUGACAUGGCUAUGUGUAAACUAUGUGUGCAUAGGAACUGUGAUCUAAAUCAAAGUCUGCUGAAAAGUGUGAAGGGGCAAGGAUGCUCCAUCACACUUCAAUACAGGUUUUGGUCAAUAAAUUAACAUUUCAGUGAAACAUUUUAAUGUUUUUGUAAGAUUUUUUUUAUAUUAUUGUACACACUGUUUAAUUUAAUUUCAUUCAUAAUAACAACAAAAUCAAUUAAAAAACGAAGUAAAAGUGAAUUAAAAACGUGUAGAAAGACUGACAGAAAUUGUAUAUCUGCCCCUUUAGAUGCACUUAUUCUUGAAAUUUUAAAGAAAAGUGCACAUCUGACUUUUUUCUUUCAAUAUUAAUUUGUUGAGUCUAAAACUGAACCCUAUGCAUUUUAUCUUUUCAGAUCUUUUUCAGAAAGAUGCACUAGCUAAGGAGCUGGAGGAAGACUUGAGGACCAACACUGAUGGAGCAUCCAAGGCUUUGGAGCCACCAGGGAAGGCCCCCCGAGUGGAAGCAGCAGCAGCUCAAAGCAGCAACAAAGGAAGCCCGAGUACCCGGAGAGAACCCACGCAUGCACGGAGAGAACAUGCAAACUCAGAACUCAAACCCAGAAAGGACCCCCGACCGAGAUUUGAACCGGUGACCUUCUUGCUGAGAGGCAUCAGCUCUACCAACUGAGCCACCGUGCCGCCCUCACUGAACAAGUUAAACUUAAAAGUUUUUUUUUUAAUGUGUUCGACCAAGCUUGUGAACAGUUGGUUUAUUUAAGAUUGCUGUUCUGGUGCUGGUGCAUAGUUAUAAAAUAAAUGUGCAAUUCAGUAGUUCA